rnacentral:rRNA from 1 species
AGCGAACGCUGGCGGCAGGCUUAACACAUGCAAGUCGAGCGGGCAUCCUUGUGGUGUCAGCGGCAGACGGGUGAGUAACGCGUGGGAACGUGCCCUUCGGUUCGGAAUAACUCAGGGAAACUUGAGCUAAUACCGGAUACGCCCUCUUGGGGAAAGGUUUACUGCCGAAGGAUCGGCCCGCGUCUGAUUAGCUAGUUGGUGAGGUUAUGGCUCACCGAGGCGACGAUCAGUAGCUGGUCUGAGAGGAUGAUCAGCCACACUGGGACUGAGACACGGCCCAGACUCCUACGGGAGGCAGCAGUGGGGAAUAUUGGACAAUGGGGGCAACCCUGAUCCAGCCAUGCCGCGUGAGUGAUGACGGCCUUAGGGUUGUAAAGCCCUUUUCUCCGGGACGAUAAUGACGGUACCGGAGGAAUAAGCCCCGGCUAACUUCGUG